UACGGAGGGGGCUAGCGUUGUUCGGAAUUACUGGGCGUAAAGCGCGCGCAGGCGGUCAUCUACGUCUGGGGUGAAAGCCCGGAGCUCAACUCCGGGAUUGCCUUGGAUACGGGAUGACUUGAGGAUCGGAGAGGCAAGGGGAAUUCCACGUGUAGCGGUGAAAUGCGUAGAGAUGUGGAGGAACACCUGUGGCGAAGGCGCCUUGCUGGCCGAUUUCUGACGCUGAGGCGCGAAAGCGUGGGGAGCAAACAGG
rnacentral:rRNA from 1 species